CCAGCACCUCUGUCACAGAUUUUAAUUGAAGUAGUUUAUUGAGCUGUUUCGAAUAUUCAUGUUGCUAUUUGGUAAAUAAUCUUAUCUAAACAAAUUCUUGUUUUACCAAGACAUUUUAUGAGAAAAUGCUGCUGAAUUUUGUCAAAUGCCUUUUCAGCCUUUUUUGAUGUGGUUUUGUGUUAGUCUUCUUUAAUCUGUUGACUACUUAGAUUACAUUGGAGCUGCUGAUAUUAAGCCACUCUUGUCUCCUUGGAAUAAAACCUACUUGAUCAUAAUGUGUUAUUCUUUUUUUUUUUUAUUUUUUUUUUUUUAUAAAUCAGCAUUCCAGUUGCUAAUAUUUUAUUUAGAAUUUCAGCAUGCAUAUUCAUACAUGAGAUUAGUCUAUAGGUUUCUUUAGUAGUCUUUUUUUAUUAGGUAUAAAAAGUUAUGCAGGUUGACAAAAUGUGGGACUAAUCAGAAGGCUCACCCACUGUGGGUGAGAAUGCAAAUUUAUUCAAAUGUGUUAGAAAACCACUUAGCUGAAUCUACUAACGUGAAAAUAUAAAAUCUAGUAAUUCUGCUUCUGGGCAAACACCCAAUAAAAUGCAUACAUAUGUUUACCAAAAGACAUGUUCUAGAAUGUUUAUAGCAACAUUAUUAGCAAUAGCUUCAAACCAGGAACUACCUAAAAGUCCAUCUACUAUAGCAUGGAUAAAUACAUUUUUGUGUUCAUACAGUGGAAUAUUAUACAGCAACAAGAAUGAACAGUUUAUAAGCACAUGCAAUAUAUGGAUGAAUCUCAGAAAUGUUAUGUCGAGCCUUAAAAGGCAGAUAUAAAAAGAAUACUGUGUGCUUGCCUUUUUAUAAGUGCAAAAACAGGCAAAACUAAUCUGUUAACCGUUAGAAGACAGGAACGUGGUUAUCUUCAGUGAGAGAUAAGUAGAGGGGGAGGUAGUGUCUGAAAGAGUUUGAGGGGGAUUCUGCAGUGCUGGUAACAUUUUGUGUCUUUGUCUAGGUGCCUGUUUAUGUUCGAUUGUUUAGGUCAUGGAAACUCAUCUACUUUACACUUAACAUGUACACUUUUCUGUAUGUAUUUUAUACUUGAAUAAAAUGUUUUUAGAAAGCAAUACUUGUUUCAUAGAAUGAAUUGGGGAGAUUUCAUCUUUUUCUACAGUUUAGAAUUGUUUAAGAGGUCUUUGAAAUUGUAUGUUAAAGAUUAGAUGAAACUUGGCUGAGAGACUUUCGGUCCUGAGGCCUUCUUGUUUAGAGGUAGGAUUUUUCAUUGCUUUUCUAAUACCUUUGGUUCAAAAUACUCACUUCUUGAAUUAAUUCUGAUAACUUAUAUUUUGUAGGAAAUGCUUCAUUUUUUUGUAGGUUUUCACAUUUAUUUUCUAUAGAUCUGUGUUUUUAUGUUUCUUGUAAUUUCUUCAGUGUGUGGUAUUAUGGUUUUUAUUCUUUUUAUCCAAGGAUUAUCUAUCUGUGUUUCUUAAUCUUCAAGGAGUUCAGGAAAAGCAGUACUAAUUUUUCACAUUCAGUUCCUCUUGUCAAGUUGAAGGGUGAGGAGGAAAUAAUCAAGGUGGAUCAAGAAUUUGCUCAGAAUCCCAUCUGAAGAUUCCUGGAUCAGAGGAGCAAAGGAAAUCUGCCCAGUGGCCCUCCAGCAGAUUUCUCCAUGUAUCUCACUGGCCACAACAUUGCCUCUCUACCUUUAAUGGAUGUUGAGAAAGUGAGUAUCUCACUGUUCAGCUUCUGUAGUAGGAGAUGGCAGUGAGAAGUCAAUUUCAAAUGGCUUUUGGGUUAGACAACAAAUGUUCCCUCUCACAACUACCAUUAGCCAGGAACCUCUUCAAUCCCUCAUUUCUAUUUUGCAUUUGCCCUCAUUUCUCCUCUCUCACCCUGAUUAUGAAAAGAAAUAUAUGUGGUUUGUGGAUGCUGAGUCCUAAUUUUCCAAUUCUUGAGAACAGUGCCUCAAAUCACCUUCCAAAUGAGACAUUUGCUUUCUCCAUGGGAUAUUACAGUCAUUCUAAUCUUGUUUGUUCAUUCCCGGUUUUGAAUUCACUCACUCUCUGAAGAACCAUCAAACAAACCCUG